GGGGAAAGAGAAGGAAGGCAAAUAAAGGAGGUGCCUUCCUUCUUUCCUUUGCUGCUCUUUCCCUUCUUUCUGAGAGGCCAGUGCCUUGGAGGGACUGAGAUGAAGAGGGCAAAGGGUGAUAUAAUGGCAUCAGGGCCUGGAUCAUCUCUUCUUAAUGGGAAAGUGGAAAGUGUCACCAUGCAGACACUUCAGCAACUGAUGUCAUUUGGGAGGUGGCUGUGUAUUUCACCAAAGGAGAGUGGGAUCUUCUGAAUCACAGCCAAAGAAUUUUGUACAAGAUUGUCAUGCUGGAGAACUAUAAAAAUGUGAACUUUCUGG